GCACUGACUGUGACAGCACUUAUACAAAAUUGGAACUAUUCAGAGAAGAUUAGCACAAUUUCUAAAUAGGGAUGACCUGCAAAUUCGUGAAGUGUUCCAUAUUUUU
rnacentral:snRNA from 1 species